GAUGAACGCUGGCGGCGUGCCUAAUACAUGCAAGUCGAGCGAACGGACGAGAAGCUUGCUUCUCUGAUGUUAGCGGCGGACGGGUGAGUAACACGUGGAUAACCUACCUAUAAGACUGGGAUAACUUCGGGAAACCGGAGCUAAUACCGGAUAAUAUUUUGAACCGCAUGGUUCAAAAGUUAAAGACGGUCUUGCUGUCACUUAUAGAUGGAUCCGCGCUGCAUUAGCUAGUUGGUAAGGUAACGGCUUACCAAGGCAACGAUGCAUAGCCGACCUGAGAGGGUGAUCGGCCACACUGGAACUGAGACACGGUCCAGACUCCUACGGGAGGCAGCAGUAGGGAAUAUUCCGCAAAGGGCGAAAGCCUGACGGAGCAACGCCGCGUGAGUGAUGAAGGUCUUCGGAUCGUAAAACUCUGUUAUUAGGGAAGAACAGAUGUGUAAGUAACUGUGCACAUCUUGACGGUACCUAAUCAGAAAGCCACGGCUAACUACGUG
rnacentral:rRNA from 1 species